AGCUCCAAUAGCGUAUAUUAAAGUUGUUGCAGUUAAAAAGCUCGUAGUUGGAUCUCGGGUCCAGGCUGGCGGUUCCGCUCGUGCGGAGACUGCCUGUCCUGACCUCCCAGCCGGUGUUCCCUUGGUGCCCUUAGCUGGGUGUCUCGGGUGGCCGGAACGUUUACUUUGAAAAAAUUAGAGUGUUCAAAGCAGGCUUGCAGGCCUGAAUAAUGGUGCAUGGAAUAAUGGAAGAGGACCUCGGUUCUAUUUUGUUGGUUUUCGGAACUAGAGGUAAUGAUUAAGAGGGACAGACGGGGGCAUUCGUAUUACGGUGUUAGAGGUGAAAUUCUUGGAUCGCCGUAAGACGAACUACUGCGAAAGCAUUUGCCAAGAAUGUUUUCA
rnacentral:rRNA from 1 species